GAGUUCUCCAGGGCCAUGAAUGAGCUGCAACUCAAUGAUGCCGAGUUUGCUUUACUCAUUGCUAUCAGCAUCUUCUCUGCAGGUGUGGAGGAGGGGUAAUGGGAAACAGCAAGAGACUUACACCAAGGAGGGCUGCAGGUCCCACAGGAAUCGGUGGGGGGAGGGGGGUGGUGGCUUGGGAGGGUGGAGGCAUUUGCUGUGUUAUUUUAGGAUGAGAGAGCUUGGCUGGAGCAUGUCUCUAUAUUUUGGUUGCAAUUUGGGGUAUGGAACUGGACCCUGGCCAGAUCUGUUCCUCAACUCUCUUGGUGACCUAUAGACCGGCCCAACGUGCAGGACCAGCUCCAGGUAGAGAGGCUGCAGCACACAUAUGUGGAAGCCCUGCAUGCCUACGUCUCCAUCCACCAUCCCCAUGACCGACUGAUGUUCCCACGGAUGCUAAUGAAACUGGUGAGCCUCCGGACCCUGAGCAGCGUCCACUCAGAGCAAGUGUUUGCACUGCGUCUGCAGGACAAAAAGCUCCCACCGCUGCUCUCUGAGAUCUGGGAUGUGCACGAAUGACUGUUCUGCCCCCAUAUUUUCUGUUUUCUUGGCUGGAUGGCUGAGGCCUGAUGGCUGCCUCCUAGAAGUGGAACAGACUGAGAAGGGCAAACAUUACUGGGAGCUGGGCAAGGAGAUCCUCCCGUGGCAUUAAAAGAGAGUCAAAGGG
rnacentral:sRNA from 1 species